rnacentral:tRNA from 1 species
GCCUGGGUGGCUCAGUCGGUUAGGCGUCUGACUUCGGCUCAGGUCGUGAUCUCGUGGUCCGUGAGUUCGAGCCCCGCCUCAGGCU